GGGCCCCCAUGAUGUCCAGCACUGGGCGCUGACCUCCCGUGAGGAUACUGUGCCCCCCGGGACCUUUGACACCCGGGGGUCUGAGGGGCAC